rnacentral:lncRNA from 1 species
AUUGUAUACUAUUAAUAUAUAGCAUCAAGCCAUUGGUGCUAUUAAUUUUUUAGGCUUUGAAUUGAGAAAUAUGCGGUUGGGAUGAUAUGGGCCCUUUAGGAUUUAGUAGGCGGUUGGUUGAAUAGUAUAAUCUAACGGAUAAAAAUAACUAAAGAGUUAAAUCUAACGGUGAAAAACUCGAUAGCACCAAGCCCUUGAUGCUAUCGAUAGUAUUCCAGUCGGACUCCAUAUAUAUAACUAGGUUGGAAUACUAUCAAUAGUAUCAAGCUAUCGGUGCUAUUAAUUUUCUAGCCCUUGAAUUGAGAAAUGUACAGUUGGGAUGAUGUUGACCCCUCUGGAAUUGAGUGGGUGGUUGGUUGAAUAGUAUAAUCUAACGGAUAAAACUAAUCAAAGUGUUAAAUCUAACGAUUGAAAACUCGAUAGCAUGUGCGCACCAAGUCCUUGGUGCUAUCGAUAGUAUCCUGGCCGGUAUUCUGUAUAUUCUGUGAUCCAGUUUUAAUCUCUCAUUU